GAGUGAAGCGGUAACAGCUCAAAUUUGAAAUCUGGCUCCUUUGGAGUCCGAGUUGUAAUUUGUAGAAGAUGCUUUGGGUUAUGGGUUCGGCCUAAGUUCCUUGGAACAGGACGUCAUGGAGGGUGAGAAUCCCGUAUGUGGCCGAGGCCCGCGCCUGUGUAAAGCUCUUUCAACGAGUCGAGUUGUUUGGGAAUGCAGCUCAAAAUGGGUGGUAAAUUUCAUCUAAAGCUAAAUAUGGGCCAGAGACCGAUAGCGCACAAGUAGAGUGAUCGAAAGAUGAAAAGCACUUUGGAAAGAGAGUUAAACAGUACGUGAAAUUGUUGAAAGGGAAGCGCUUGCACCCAGACUUGGGCGCUGCUGAUCACCUUGCGUUCUCCGCGAGUGCACUCGACAGCGCACAGGCCAGCAUCGGUUCGGGUGGCUGGAUAAAGGCCGUAGGAACGUAGCUCUCUUCGGGGAGUGUUAUAGCCUACGGUGCCAUGCAGCCCAGCCGGACCGAGGACCGCGCCUUCGGGCUAGGAUGCUGGCGUAAUGGGU
rnacentral:rRNA from 1 species